UAAGGGCGCACGGUGGAUGCCUUGGCACUAGAAGCCGAUGAAGGACGUUACUAACGACGAUAUGCUUUGGGGAGCUGUAAGUAAGCUUUGAUCCAGAGAUUUCCGAAUGGGGAAACCCAGCAUGAGUUAUGUCAUGUUAUCGAUAUGUGAAUACAUAGCAUAUCAGAAGGCACACCCGGAGAACUGAAACAUCUUAGUACCCGGAGGAAGAGAAAGAAAAUUCGAUUCCCUUAGUAGCGGCGAGCGAAACGGGAAGAGCCCAAACCAACAAGCUUGCUUGUUGGGGUUGUAGGACACUCUAUACGGAGUUACAAAGGACGACAUUAGACGAAUCAUCUGGAAAGAUGAAUCAAAGAAGGUAAUAAUCCUGUAGUCGAAAAUGUUGUCUCUCUUGAGUGGAUCCUGA
rnacentral:rRNA from 1 species